rnacentral:rRNA from 1 species
AGAGCGAACGCUGGCGGCGUGCUUAACACAUGCAAGUCGAGCGGAAAGGCCCUUCGGGGUACUCGAGCGGCGAACGGGUGAGUAACACGUGAGUAAUCUGCCCCUAGCUCUGGGAUAGCUCCGGGAAACCGGGAUUAAUACCGGAUACGACCACCUUAGACAUCUUUUGUGGUGGAAAGAAUUUCGGCUAGGGAUGAGCUCGCGGCCUAUCAGCUUGUUGGUGGGGUAACGGCCUACCAAGGCGACGACGGGUA